ACUCUUGUUUCUGUUUAGAUCACAUACAUAUUUUGCGUUUUACUAAAGAUUUCCGUGGGGAGGAACAACAAGAGAAUUGCUCAAUUUUUUGAAGCCCUGCGAAAGCGGGGCU